AGAGAGAGACAUGCGCGCAUAUCAAUAAGCGGAGGAAAAGAAACUAACAAGGAUUCCCUUAGUAACGGCGAGUGAAGCGGGAAGAGCUCAAAUUUGAAAUCUUCAAGGUUCUACCUUGACGAAUUGUAGUUUAUAGAAGUGUUUUCUGUUAGUGGAGUGGCAAAAGUUCUUUGGAAUAGGACAUCAUAGAGGGUGAGAAUCCCGUAUUUGGUCAUUCCUCCUAGCAGUUGUGAUACACUUUCAACGAGUCGGAUUGUUUGGGAAUGCAGUCCAAAAUGGGUGGUAAAUUUCAUCUAAAGCUAAAUAUUGGCGAGAGACCGAUAGCGAACAAGUACCGUGAGGGAAAGAUGAAAAGAACUUUGAAAAGAGAGUUAAACAGUACGUGAAAUUGUCAAAAGGGAAGCGUUUGACACCAGUGUUGCUUUUCCGAAAAUCAAUUACGAAUGUUUUAUUUUUGAGGAGUUAUGACUUCAUCGGCUUGCUCCUUUCUUUACUGAAACUUUCUUAAUGCACUUUUCGGUUAACAAGUCAACAUCAAUUUCUUUUGUUGUAAAAGGGUAUGAGGAAGGUGGCUUUCUUUUCGGAGAAAGUGUUUAUAGCCUUGUGCCUCUGCAAUCGGAGAGAUUGAGGUCUGCAGCGUAGAUCCUUCGGGGUUAGAUACGUUUGUGCUAAGUUAUAGCUUUUCAUAGACAACUUGUUGACUAUGUUUAGUCUUGUAGCUUACUCGCUGACGCUAUUUUACCUACGCUUAGGAUGUUGAUAGUCACAGCGUGUAC
rnacentral:rRNA from 1 species